UUCCUGUACUUGUGCUAUAAGACCUACCUACCUACCAAAUUUCAUGAUUCUAGGUUAACCGGAAGUACCCUCUAGGUUUUCGUGACCGAUACGACAGACGGACAGUCGGAC